GAUGAACGCUGGCGGCGUGCCUAAUACAUGCAAGUCGAGCGAACAGACGAGGAGCUUGCUCCUCUGACGUUAGCGGCGGACGGGUGAGUAACACGUGGAUAACCUACCUAUAAGACUGGGAUAACUUCGGGAAACCGGAGCUAAUACCGGAUAAUAUAUUGAACCGCAUGGUUCAAUAGUGAAAGACGGUUUUGCUGUCACUUAUAGAUGGAUCCUCGCCGCAUUAGCUAGUUGGUAAGGUAACGGCUUACCAAGGCGACGAUGCGUAGCCGACCUGAGAGGGUGAUCGGCCACACUGGAACUGAGACACGGUCCAGACUCCUACGGGAGGCAGCAGUAGGGAAUCUUCCGCAAUGGGCGAAAGCCUGACGGAGCAACGCAGCGUGAGUGAUGAAGGUCUUCGGAUCGUAAAACUCUGUUAUUAGGGAAGAACAAAUGUGUAAGUAACUAUGCACGUCUUGACGGUACCUAAUCAGAAAGCCACGGCUAACUACGUG
rnacentral:rRNA from 1 species